CACGUAGGUGGUACGUCAAGUUCGGCGUGAAAUCCCCAGGCUCAACUUGGGGGGUCGUCGAAGACUGGCGAACUAGGGUCUGGCAGAGGCAGGUAGAAUUCCCGGUGGAGCGGUGAAAUGCGUAGAGAUCGGGAGGAAUACCAGUGGCGAAGGCGGCCUGCUGGGCCACGACCGACACUAAGGUGCGAAAGCGUGGGGAGCGAACC
rnacentral:rRNA from 1 species